rnacentral:piRNA from 1 species
UGAAUUGACAUGUUUGACAAUGAGGUGAU